AGGAAAAGAAACUAACAAGGAUUCCCCUAGUAACGGCGAGUGAAGCGGGAAGAGCUCAAAUUUGAAAUCUGGUAGCCUUCGGUUGCCCGAGUUGUAAUCUAGAGAAGUGUUUUCCGUGCCGGCCCAUGUACAAGUCCCUUGGAACAGGGCGUCAUAGAGGGUGAGAAUCCCGUCCUUGACAUGGACCCCCGGUGCUUUGUGAUACACUUUCAACGAGUCGAGUUGUUUGGGAAUGCAGCUCAAAAUGGGUGGUGAAUUCCAUCUAAAGCUAAAUAUUGGCGAGAGACCGAUAGCGAACAAGUACCGUGAGGGAAAGAUGAAAAGCACUUUGGAAAGAGAGUUAAACAGUACGUGAAAUUGUUGAAAGGGAAACGAUUGAAGUCAGUCAUGCUCUUGGGACUUACCUCCCUUGAGUGGGGUCAACAUCAGUUUUGAUCGAUGGAUAAAGGCACGGGGAAGGUAGCACUCUCGGGUGAACUUAUAGCCUCGCGUCAUAUACAUUGAUU
rnacentral:rRNA from 1 species